GCAGAGUUCUCGGAGUCACGAAGAGUUUGAUCCUGGCUCAGGACGAACGCUGGCGGCGUGCCUAAUACAUGCAAGUCGAACGAAGCUUUCUUUCACCGAAUGCUUGCAUUCACCGAAAGAAGCUUAGUGGCGAACGGGUGAGUAACACGUAGGCAACCUGCCCAAAAGAGGGGGAUAACACUUGGAAACAGGUGCUAAUACCGCAUAACCAUGAACACCGCAUGAUCUUCAUGUAAAAGACGGCUUUUGCUGUCACUUUUGGAUGGGCCUGCGGCGUAUUAACUUGUUGGUGGGGUAACGGCCUACCAAGGUGAUGAUACGUAGCCGAACUGAGAGGUUGAUCGGCCACAUUGGGACUGAGACACGGCCCAAACUCCUACGGGAGGCAGCAGUAGGGAAUCUUCCACAAUGGACGAAAGUCUGAUGGAGCAACGCCGCGUGAAUGAAGAAGGCCUUCGGGUCGUAAAAUUCUGUUGUCAGAGAAGAACGUGCGUGAGAGUAACUGUUCACGUAUUGACGGUAUCUGACCAGAAAGCCACGGCUAACUACGUGCCAGCAGCCGCGGUAAUACGUAGGUGGCGAGCGUUGUCCGGAUUUAUUGGGCGUAGAGGGAACGCAGGCGGUCUUUUAAGUCUGAUGUGAAAGCCUUCGGCUUAACCGAAGUAGUGCAUUGGAAACUGGAAGACUUGAGUGCAGAAGAGGAGAGUGGAACUCCAUGUGUAGCGGUGAAAUGCGUAGAUAUAUGGAAGAACACCAGUGGCGAAAGCGGCUCUCUGGUCUGUAACUGACGCUGAGGUUCGAAAGCGUGGGUAGCAAACAGGAUUAGAUACCCUGGUAGUCCACGCCGUAAACGAUGAGUGCUAAGUGUUGGAGGGUUUCCGCCCUUCAGUGCUGCAGCUAACGCAUUAAGCACUCCGCCUGGGGAGUACGGUCGCAAGACUGAAACUCAAAGGAAUUGACGGGGGCCCGCACAAGCGGUGGAGCAUGUGGUUUAAUUCGAAGCAACGCGAAGAACCUUACCAGGUCUUGACAUCUUCUGACAAUUCCAGAGAUGGAACGUUCCCUUCGGGGACAGAAUGACAGGUGGUGCAUGGUUGUCGUCAGCUCGUGUCGUGAGAUGUUGGGUUAAGUCCCGCAACGAGCGCAACCCUUAUUGUCAGUUGCCAUCAUUAAGUUGGGCACUCUGGCGAGACUGCCGGUGACAAACCGGAGGAAGGUGGGGAUGACGUCAAAUCAUCAUGCCCCUUAUGACCUGGGCUACACACGUGCUACAAUGGACGGUACAACGAGUCGCUAACUCGCGAGGGCAAGCUAAUCUCUUAAAGCCGUUCUCAGUUCGGAUUGCAGGCUGCAACUCGCCUGCAUGAAGUCGGAAUCGCUAGUAAUCGCGAAUCAGCAUGUCGCGGUGAAUACGUUCCCGGGCCUUGUACACACCGCCCGUCACACCAUGAGAGUUUGUAACACCCAAAGUCGGUGGGGUAACCUUUUGGAGCCAGCCGCCUAAGGUGGGACAGAUGAUUGGGGUGAAGUCGUAACAAGGUAGCCGUAGUCCUGUGUGAAGUGAUCCGCUAAUCGUCGA
rnacentral:rRNA from 2 species